rnacentral:rRNA from 1 species
CGACCGGCGCACGGGUGAGUAACGCGUAUGCGACCUGCCCGUUGCAGGGGGAUAAUCGGGAGAAAUCCCGUCUAAUACCGCGUAACGCCGCGGGGCUGCAUGGCCCUGCGGCCAAAGGGAGCGAUUCCGGCAACGGAUGGGCGUGCGUGACAUUAGCUAGUUGGCGGGGCAACGGCCCACCAAGGCGACGAUGUCUAGGGGUUCUGAGAGGAAGGUCCCCCACACUGGUACUGAGACACGGACCAGACUCCUACGGGAGGCAGCAG